GUGAGAAAAAAUAUACUUGUCUCACUUUAACUUAUUGCACCAGUGUUCAGCAGUGCAGUUAAAAAGAACAGAUCAUUUAUUGCUCCUUAGAAAUACAACAAAGAUAGAAUGACACAGUAGCGUUUAAUAGUGCUAAUAGUGAGCUCUCCGAACGCACCAAAAGCGUACGCUACAGAAUAAAAUGGCGGAAAAUUUGACAAUAACCUUGUAAAAGAAUGCACUUUCCAAAAAUUGAUUUAAAACUCAGAGCAUCACUUAUGUGUUAGGCUGAGAAUUUUUUACCCUCGUAUAUGAUUGCUUGGUUUAUGUACAUAUGUUGUUGGUGGAAUUUUGGAAGAGGAGAGGCCAGAGGAAGUGGACAACGAUCGAGCGAAGAAAGGAUCUAUAUUUUCAAUGUAGAGAGGAGGGCCGCGGCUGUACUGAGUGUUUAAACAUAGUUACAAGUGGAGUACAUACACAUGCAUAUGCAAGGGCCGACACAGUCUAAACAUAGUCUCUUUAUGAGUGCGUAAAUGCACGUGCAUAAAGACCCGGGAAAGCACCGUUUUACAAACUCGUCGCGUUGCUGCAGCUAAGUUAAGGAAAUGAUGCGAGACGGCGGCGGCACUCCUUUGGUCUGCGGGCUCGAGGAAGACUGACGACGGCUGGGUUAUUAUCACUUCCUCCUGAAGCACGU